AACGAACGCUGGCGGCAUGCCUAACACAUGCAAGUCGAACGAGACCUCCGUGUCUAGUUGCGCUCGGGUGCGGAACGUGUGGGAACCUGCCCUUAGGCUCGGAAAUACACUUCUUAAGGGGUGCUAAUAUCGGAUAACGUCUUCUGACCAAAGAUUCAUCGUCCUUGGAUGGGCCCGCGUUGGUUUAGCCAGUUGGUAGGGGAAAAGCCUACCACGGGGUCGAUCCAUAGCUGGUCUGAGAGGAAGGGCAGCCACACUGGGGCUGUGACGCGGCACAGACUCCUGCAGGAGGCAGGAAAGGGGGAUAUAGGAAUAUGGGGGGAGGGCUGAUGCAGCUAGGCCGGGAGAGUGAUGAAGGCCUUAGAGAUAUGAAGCUCUUUUACCCGGGAUGGUAAUGACGGUACCGAAAGAAUAAGCACCGGCUAACUCCGUG
rnacentral:rRNA from 1 species